GAAAUGCGAUAAGUAAUAUGAAUUGCAGAAUUCAGUGAAUCAUCGAAUCUUUGAACGCACCUUGCGCUCCUUGGUAUUCCUUGGAGCAUGCCUGUUUGAGUAUCAUGAAAUCUUCAAAGUAAAUCUUUUGUUAACUCAAUUGGUUUCUACUUUGGUAUUGGAGGUCUUUGCAGCUUCACACCUGCUCCUCUUUGUUCAUUAGCUGGAUCUCAGUGUUAUGCUUGGUUCCACUCGGCGUGAUAAGUUAUCUAUCGCUGAGGACACUGUAAAAGGUGGCCAAGGUAAAUGCAGAUGAACCGCUUCUAAUAGUCCAUUGACUUGGACAAUACUUUUAUGAUCUGAUCUCGAAUCAGGUAGGACUACCCGCUGAACUUAAGC
rnacentral:misc_RNA from 1 species